GUUUUUUUCUUUUCCGUUUUUUCUCCUCCCCACUUCUACAGUUCUACACGCCUUCACCACCUCAUUCCACUUCAUUUCUGAUUCAAGAUGCAUAUUUCUCAUCGUGUAGAAGACCUCCCUUUGGUCGGAAGAUAAAUAAGGAAGAAACUCUACUUCUGUAAUUUUAUCUAUUGACCUGUAAGGAAAUCUCUACAAAUAUGGAACUUGAUUUGUAAUUAAUUACCGUUUUUAGACUUUGUAAUCCCUAUAUUCAAGGAUAGGAUACUAAUAUCUACCGUUUUUAGGUUUUAAUUGAAUUAAAAUAAAAUAAAAUAAAAAAUUUAACAAAUAGCUAACGGUUAGUUUUGACCGACCAAUAUAAUUAUUUUGUUUCGUGCACACUUUUUAAAGGAUUGUGCACAGAAUUGGACUUCAAUUAUCAUCAUUCUGACCCCCCAAAAAAGACGAGGUGGAUGAUUACGGUGAGAGUAUUACCAAAUACAACCCUCUGACUGAUUCUGGAUCCACUAUACCACAUGAACUGUUGGACCUUCCAUCUCCAUCGAAACUAAUCCCACUUCCUCGAGUUCUCCACGACUCCACCACUUCAACCCAAGUUUUUAACUUGCCCACUUCCUUUCCGUGAGUUAAUUCUUCAUUUCUCUUCUUCGAUCUCUGUUGUUGACAAAGAAUGGAGUCAUUCAAACAUCAUAAACCCAAUUCGUUACUUGGCAGAAUACAUUCUUAUUUUCUCUUCUUCUUCACAGAACCCUGUCUGUGGUUCUCAAUUGUGAAACCAUCAUUCAACAUGAUAAAUUCAGGAAUGCGUAUGAAACAAGAAUUGGGAAGAAACCCCCACAAGAUUCUAAACUCUCUCCAUUGCAGCAUUGAUAGAGAAUUGAUGUCAAGCAAGGGGUGGGAUCCCAAUUCCUCGCAACCCGGCUCCAACAGGAUCUUAGCUGGUGCUAGCCUGGUAAUACUGGCCAAUUUUGGUUACCAAGUUCCCGACAUGAUAGCUCCAGGAAGGUCGUAGUCUACUACAGGUUAAUUUUAUAAUCUGGAACUAUUAUUAUUUAAUUUUUGAUUUUGAUUUUCAGUUUUGAAUUUGACUUGGUUUUGUAUGAAAUUGGUGUGUUAAUUUGUAGAACUAUUUAUGGGUCUUGGUUAAGUUUUCUGGGAUCAAUGUGAUGAAGUUAACAAACUCAGUGCCAAUUGAUUAGUCUGUUCUUAUCCUUUCUGAUCAUUAGCCGCAAUUAAUAGAAAAUGAAACGUGUCCUUCAUGUACUUUUGUUUCUCUAUUUGUUUGCAGUUAACUAAUAAUUGUCUGAAAUUGAGAAGAGUGAGUAUGAUUCCAUGCUUAAUGAAUAUUUGAUUUUUAUUUUUUUUCUCAUUUCCUUAAUUUACGAAUCAAUAAGCAUUUUAUGACAAUUUUUUUAUAAUGUAAUAGUUUGGUCUGUUAAGUUCUUUUCGUGGCUUCGCGUUUUGAAAUGUUUUGAUUGGAAAAUUUUCUGACAGUGAAACUGUGUAGCUCUCAAAUUUCAAUACAGGUCUGAGAUUUUGAAAUGUUUCGGCUAUUACUGCCUACUGGUUAGAGUCGCCUUUUAUGAGUAACACCAUCAGAUGUCGAACAGGUUUGGUAAUUUUACUUCAAUUAGUUAUUUCUUAUGAUCGAUAAUCAAUGCUUCUAUUUAUUUAUUUCUUUUUUGUUUUAUUGAUGCAAUAUCAUUACAUAAGGACGCCUGAACAAGAGAGUUUGUUAGUAAAGUUGUUCUUAAGAUCAUGGAGCGUCAGUCCACAUAUCUCAUAAGAACAUACCAUAAGUGCUAUAGUGUGUCUCAUAACAUGUUAUACCUCUCGACAGCCAGAAGUGUUACGGCUUCAGCGGGAACUAUAUAUCCCAUUUGGAUGUCGGAAUUUUUUUAGACAGUUUUGAAUCUGAGACUUUGAAAGCCCGGUGUGUGAACAUGUAAGAAUAAAUAGAAACUACGCAAGUGGUCAUACUUCACCAGAGGUUGGAUCUAUUUUCUUCCCUAACAACUAAUGAAUUAUAGAUCGCACUGACAUUUCAAGCUGUAACUCUUUGUACUCUUUGUACAGGUAGUAGAUAGGAGCCAAUUAAUCGCACCCCAAGCUAUGAGUCUUUGUUAAAUAAUUUGGUGGUCUACUGUAUCAGUCCAACAAGAACUUUAAACUAUUAUUCUCGCAACUAUUUGGUUGUGUAAACUGUAUUGGAAGAUACACUUAUAUGUUAAGUUUGGAAAUCUACCCAAUGUAUAAAUAUUUUACUCCAAGAAAUUAAAACAA